rnacentral:rRNA from 1 species
UACGUAGGGUGCAAGCGUUAUCCGGAAUUAUUGGGCGUAAAGAGCUCGUAGGCGGUUUGUCACGUCUGCUGUGAAAACUGGAGGCUCAACCUCCAGCCUGCAGUGGGUACGGGCAGACUAGAGUGCGGUAGGGGAGAUUGGAAUUCCUGGUGUAGCGGUGGAAUGCGCAGAUAUCAGGAGGAACGCCAAUGGCGAAGGCAAGUCUCUGGACAGUUCCUGACGCUCAUGCACGAAGGCCAGGGGAGCAAACGGG